AUACGGAGGGUGCAAGCGUUACUCGGAAUCACUGGGCGUAAAGCGCGCGCAGGCGGCUAUUUAAGUUGGAUGUGAAAGCCUACGGCUCAACCGUAGAACUGCAUCCAAAACUAUUUAGCUAGAGUGUGGGAGAGGAAGAUGGAAUUAGUUGUGUAGGGGUAAAAUCCGUAGAGAUAACUAGGAAUACCAAAAGCGAAGGCAAUCUUCUGGAACACUACUGACGCUGAGGCGCGAAAGCGUGUGGAGCAAACAGGAUUAGAAACCCUAGUAGUCC
rnacentral:rRNA from 1 species